UGUGUCGAAUUAAUGGUGGUUUGCCUUUCUAUUUUUACCGCAGAAGUCCAAAAGCCAAGCCAAUGAAAGGCCUGUCAGCUGAUGAUGAAAGAGAGUCUCUCCUGGAAUGGAGUGAUUCAGACUUUGGUAUCUUCUGAAUCUCUUCUGAAACUUUUAUUCUCAGGAGAAACAUUAGAGAAGCAGGUGACUUGCACUCCAUUUAAUCUCAUUGUAGAAAUAUUAAUGAGAUUUCGUUUGUGAUUUAUUUCCUUUCUUACAGGUUGUUUUGACUUGAAAGCAAAGCUCUUGAAACUUUUUUUUUUUUUUUUGCUUUUUCACAAAUAAUUUGGCCUUUCUGGUUUGUAAUUUUUUUGCAGAUAACUUUACAUCUCUGAAUGUAAUUUUAUUGCAAAUAACUCGAUCUUUCAGAUUUAAUGUUCUUGCAAAUAAUUUGAC
ensembl:lncRNA